AGGAUAAUGCCAAUAAUCCUAUGGAUGCAAUUGAUCCACAGGUUUUGGAGGAACAUUUCCAGUUGGUUAAUAACUUCAUUCAAACAUAAAUGAAUAAACAACCUAGUGAAACUCAACAAAUUCAAGUGACAACCAUAUCACAGGUUAUUGAUACACAACAACCUGCUCUCCAGAAUUUACCAAUUGAAACUGAAAGGAGGCCAAUGAAGAGCAAAAUUGAGACUAGAGGAGGAAAGAAAAAUAACAUAGUUGUAGGUGCUAAGCAACAUGAUGUAACAAAUCCUGUGGAACCUACAACCAACAGAGAAUCAAGCAAGAAGGCUCCUGCAACCUCAAGAGCUCCUGUGUUGAGACCCAGAAUGAAGAACAA